ensembl:lncRNA
CUGAAGCUUUCCAUGUUGUCAUAGCUGAACGGGUUCAACCAUCGCCAGUGAACUGUCAGUGAGUUGGAGAACAUUUCAACUAUCACUUGGAAUCUGAAGAAUUCUUUGCGUGACAGUGAUAAGUGCGUUUCAAAAGAACAAACGCUCCCUCUGGUGAUAUGGGUGUAAAAAUGCUGCAGUGCUUUCCUUUCUACAGACGCUGCAAGGAGAGGUGCAAAAGACAGUGCCCUCCUGAGACGACAGUAGCAAGUGAAGAGGUGAAACCUCGGCUGUGUUCCACUACCUCCUGGGGCAGUGAAGGGGACAGCGGCAGCAGUCUGAGUUGCCCACAGGCCUAUUUUUCCUACAAGGCUCGGCUCUCACUGAGACACCAGAUGGAUAGCAACAUCAAUGCAGUGGAUGCCACAUACUAACUUUAUUCUGCAGGUGGUCUCUGGAGAAUCCUUGAAAGUAAACUUAAUAUUUACAGCCCCAGUCCAGUUUAAGUCCCUUAUUGGAGAGAUUUUGCGGGGAACUGGAGAAUGAGCCAUUUGGAACAAGCAGCAUGGAUGUUUGCCUCUCCUUGCAUGCCCAUGGACACUCAUGAGUGUCAGCUGUAUGCAUUGCAAUAACAAUGUCAAGAUAAGUGUCUGAAUUUCAGUACAGCAAUGAGUGUAAAAUGGUACAGCUGAGUGUAAUUUGGUGAAAGGGAUAUUUUGAAACACUCUUAAAAGUGAUGUUUACAUGAUAACCAGUAAGUGCUUUUUUCUAGCCUGUAGCAUUUGCCCUCCACAGCCUCUGCUAUACAUGCAUCUACAUGAUCUCAACUGGAUGCUGGUUUUAUCUGAGGAGACACUGACAUCUUAAUGCAAUUGAGUUUUUUGAGCCAGGUAUAAAUUCAUUCAGUACACUCUAAAAAAUGCUGGGUUAAAAAGGGACAAACAAACCCAGCGGUUGGGUUCAAAACAACCCAAUAGCUGGGUUUGUCCCUUUUUAACCCAGCGCUGGGUUAUAUUUAACCCAGCAUUUUUUUAGAGUGUAGGAUUUUUGAUGAAUAGCAGUCUACCUAAUAAAAUCAACCACGCUUUGCCUUGCAGGUCAUAAAUUCAGUGUGUACUGUGAAGCAACGGAAUGUUUUUCUUUCUUUCAAAUGAACAGAAAGGAAGUUUUUAAAGCUUAUUUUGCUUUGUAUGUAAGUGCCAUUUUCUCUGCCUUGCAGCUGCAUCAAGGUCCAUUAACAUAAAGUCCAUAACACAGCUCUAACGUUAAUUUCAUUUUUAUUAUGUACAUUUUUCAGGGCUUUUUGAAAUAUGCCCUGACCAUAAACUAAUUUUGCCUGAGGGGUGUGUUUGGAACAAUUCUAAAAAAUAUGUUUUUUUCAUGGACUUUAUGUAAGUUAAAUUUGACCAACUAAUAUAUUAAUAUGAAGAUGGCCCAGUUUCUAAAUCUUUGUAAGGUUUUCUUCUUAUUGCAUGUAUAAAACUAGUAAAAAGAAUGGAGAUGUUUGUCAUGAUCCACUCAUGUUCCGACAUGUUUGAAAAAAAAAAAAAACAGGUUUUACAUGCUAAUGAUGUGUAUCUGGACUCCUUCACGUUGUUGUGUGCACAUGUAUUAACAUUAGUUUUUUUAAAUGUUAAAAGUGGAUUUUUACACUAACCCAGCAAAAGAACAGAAUUCACAAGCCACUGUUACACCUUUGAAGUCACAAUAUGCAAGAGAAGAUAUUUUUGGUAUAUUUUGUAUGCAAUGUGUAAAUCAAUUUUAUGUAAAAAAAACAAUUGUAAUAAGUAAAAAGACAGUGAACUAAAUUAUAAUAGAAUUAAAACAGCACAUGUCUUGUUGCUUUCACUGAUGAUUG